CUUCCUCAAAAUUGCAGUCUUCUUUUUCUCUUCUCUAGAUCCAUUAUCAAUAUGGUCUUUCACCAUUUAUUUUUUUAUCAUUGAUUUGUAUACAAAAUAUGUUCACGCAUUUCUACUUGUAUGAUUGGAUUGAAUAUUUUUUAUAUGUCUGGGAGGGGCACAUAUCGAUUGAAACUUCAUCCGACUCAAACAAAUAUUGUAUAUCUGGAAAAUCUCAGAAGAUCCACGAGCAGAACAACAAAACUCAGGUCAUGGAGUAUCAUUUCAAGCCUAAUCAAAUGAAAACUAUUUAUGCUGUCGUAUACUUUUAUGUCUUAUCUACUAUGUUGCGUUGUAUCGUUCGAUUUAGUGACGUCCAACAAACAUUUAUCAAGUGUGAUUUCUUUGAUUAAAUACAGGUUGCAUUCUUAGCUAAUAGAAAUGUGUGCACUGUCAUGUUUCUU